UACAGUCAUAUUACGCUGAAACACCGGUUCUCGUUCGAUCACCGAAGUUAAGCAACGUCGAGCCUGGUCAGUACCUAGAUUGGUGACCGCAUGGGAAUAUCAAGUGCUGUAAG
rnacentral:rRNA from 1 species